UCACUCUCUCUGCCUCACUCUCACGGUCUCACCUCACACACGGCUCUGAAUUUUUUUUUUUUUUUCCAAUCUCAAGCCUAAGUCAUGUACUCUAUUGAUAGACACAAACCCAGGACACAACACGGUAAGGGAGAGAAACAGAGAGAGAUAAGAACAAAGAAAGAAAAAAAAAAGUCAUCCAUGAGUCAACUGCUUCCAUCACAAGAAAGAGAAAGAGAAGAAAGAAGGAAAAGAAGAAGGUUGGAGAGAAUGAAAGAUGGAGAUUUUGUUUUGGUUUAGCUCAUUCAUGAACACCAAAUUAUAUUUAUCUCAUUUAGAUGUAACUUCUUCACAUGGGUUCGUCUUGCAUGUGGAUUAUUACUUUCUUUCUUUCUGGUUUGUUUUAAUUUGUUAUAUGUAGUCAUGUUGUUUCUCUUGCUCAUGUUAUGGUUAUUUUAAUCUAACUUGAAAGUCAAUUGCGCUAAGAUAUCAUGACACUCACUUAUAGAAGAAUGAGAAGUUAUGAUGAUAAAGAUUUAGGGUUGAAUUUUGGAUGAUUCCCUCGGGUUUUGAUAAGGGUGGGCAAGUUUUUGUGAUUUUUGAAAGGAAUUGAUUGGGUUUUAUGUUUUUGAUUGUA